UGCCUCCCCGUACCUGCCUUGAGAACCUGUUAUAACCAGCUGAGCUCGAAUUACCCUGCUCUGUUCACUUGCCAAUGUUACCAUCCCAAUUUCCCUCCCCCACGCUAAUCCAAAAGCUACUGUUCACAGCUCACCACCCACCUCACCUGUGAGGGUCACCUGAUACUACUUCUAUCAAAGAGCUGGGGGUGGCUAAGAAGGAGGCUUCCUGAGCAUGGGAACACUCUGGGAAAUCCCCUGUUGGAGGGGCUGAAGAGCAGGUCACUCAGAGCGCCUCAGUGGAGGGGAAUCCCCAGGCUGGUCCCUCAGCCCCAGGCAGCUGAGCUGGCUGCUGGAGACUGGGGGCAGCUGGCAUCUCUUGGCUGGGGUCUGGCCUGAGCUCAGCAGGUUCUCCCCAGGCACACUCUGCUCUGCUCCUGGCCAGCUCUUGAUGUCUCUGUCCCGAACCGUGGUGAGAUUCCUUCAGGAGCCUCCAGCAGCCAGUUACCUGGCUCACCUCCUUUGAAGGGAGCCCUGGGUACUCAGUUUCUAGAUCCGGCAUCGGCACUCAAGCUACCUUGCUUCAGUUCACCCUCGAGAUCAGAUCUCAUGGGCCAACACUACUCUGGGAUGACUCUGCUGAUCUCCUCCCACCUCCUCUACUCAGAGCCUUCUGGAGAACAGUGCUUCUAAAUUGAUCUCAGUUCUGUUUUCACUGACCCCAGACAUUGACUCAAAGUCCUCUAUGCUUGAAAGUGUCAGAGAGCCUCCGCUGGCAACGGAAUGGCCUGCCACAGGAACAUAACUUGCUAUACCUUAUAGUGUCUCACCUUGUACUAUGGACCUCAGGGUCACUCAAAUGUCAGAGAUAGUUGCCCCUCAAAAAGACCGAGAUAAAAAGGAUUAGAAAUGCAAAUGGAACUUCUCCUUUCUUACAACUUCAGUGUGACUUUUUGGAAAUAGAUAACAUCAAUAAGCUCGGGUAACCCAUUUUAAACUUGCUUGUAUACUUAUGCUCAAACGGAUUUUAAAAAUGUGGUUUGAAGAAAA